rnacentral:lncRNA from 1 species
GGGGGGGGGUGGUUGAUGUGCUUGAGAUGCAAAGAUCUAGAUAAAAUAAAAUAAAAAAAUGUUUAUUUUUAGCUACGCUCCUUGGAGCUCGAUGUUAAUCUCACUUCGCCUCCUGUAAUUCACAAAUGUCAUCACUUUACUUUUUGAAACUCAAGAUUCACUACACUUUACUAUGGUUCUGUUUAUUCUCAAAUUCACUCACAUUUUGUCUCCUGAAACUCAAAAUUUGCUCUAAAUUAACUUAGUUAUGUUAAUUCCGUUCAAAAGCCGUCAAAUAUGCUUAGUUUAUCCUACCACUACCGACCCCAUCUGGCGGGCGAGAGCUCCCUCUUCAAAUAAGCAUGUACGAAGUAUGAUUAAGUAAAGAAUAGAAUGAGCACCAAUUGAAAUAAGAAAAGAAAAUAUUAUUAUCAAAUAUAGAAUAAAAAAAAAUUAAAAACACAAAUUCUUUCGGUACAACUCAAUUUAAACAUUGCUUUUGACAUUUGCUCGAGUUUAAUUCUCUAUCUAUCUUUAAAAACCACAUGGUGAAAUUACAAAGUUUUUACAUAUUCAGAAACUAGGUGAAAAGAUGAAGGAAACUAAUAAGAGAAAUUUUUUUACAACAGAUCUGCAAAUCUAAUUCAAUUAAAUUGGUUAAUAAACUUCAAUAAGUAAGGUUACUCAUUGCUUUAAUUAUCAAUGUAAUUAUCUAAACGAAACUAACCUUACUCAUUAAAAGGUUUCAGUACAUAUUUUGCUAAGUUCGUGCAACUGAAAAAAAAAAAUAUUUAGGCCCUUUGGAGAUGGUUAUGGACGAUGAUGAAGAGGCAGAGGUAUCUAAAACUAACAUUAGGUUAGAAGGGAGUCAUCAAACUAAAAUAGCAACUCAAGCUCAUUAUGAUUCUUUAUCCGCAUCAGAAAGUAGGAAAAGGGUAGACAUUGCCAGCCAAUUUGAAAGUCAACUUUAAUUCUCUGUCCCUCCUAUAUACCAAUCAAAUACAGAAAGAAAGCAAAGCAAACCACCUCGUAAUUUGGAUGGUUGACAAUUGAGGGAGUCAAUUCCAGACCAUAUACAAGUAAGAAAGAAUUUUACUGCAUCAAACAUGUUCAUUUCCUCCUAUGCAUUCAGACUAGGUAAUACCAUGUUCUAAUUUGAGCCUCUGUGUAGUGACAUUCCUAACAAAGUGUUGAUCUAUAUAAACAAGUUGCAGUUUUACAUUUUAGUUAUGCAAAAAUAAUAUGAUCAGUGCUAAUCUAAAGAAUGACGCUGGAAUUGUAUGAUUACUGCAAUAAACAUAAGACAUCAUGUUAUAGUAUUCUGCUUUCUGAUGGACAAGAUUGAUAAACCAUAAAACUUUACUUGAGUUUCAGGUAUAACUUCUCUCAAUUUCAGUAACAUUGACACUAACUGGUUCAACUAUAAAAAGUGGAAGCAGGAUAUUGAAAUCGUGCUGGGGCUGAUGGAUUUUGACCUGGCUUUAAGGGAAGAUGAGCCUGCGCCACUCAUUGUAGACAACACAGUGGAACAGAAAACUAAGUUGAAAAGUGGGAAAAAGCUAAUCGUAUGUCACUACUGAUCAUGAGGAAGGCAAUGACUGAGUCAGUGAGAGGGGGCAUUCCAAAAAGUAAGAAGGCGAAGGAAUUUUGCACUUCAAUUGGUGAAAAAUUCAAGGAGUAAGACAAGGCAGAAACAAGUAAUUUCCUCACCAAACUCACCACAAUGAAGUUUAAUGUAGGGGUGGGCAUAAAAACUGCCAAACCGGAAAACUGAAUCGAACCGUGACAAAAAAAACCUUAAAAAAACUACGUUGACCAAAAAAGUCAAAACCGGAACAAAAACCGAACCGAACCAAACCGUUUCAAUUGGAAGUAAGGGAAUUAUUGAUUUUUGAUUGGUGGCUUUGGACCACACACAUACCUUCUCUCUCUCACUCCCGUGCUCUCUCUCUCUCUCUCGGUUUUCACUCUCUCUCUUCCCUCUUUGUACGAACAAGCUUCAACUCACCCCAAACCUUGCAGAUCGAGGGUGUAAUUGUCACCAUUGUGUUCCUUGUGAUGCUACGAAUCGUUUGACACCAGUUUUAGGUAAGUAAUCAUUCGAAAACUCGUAAACCCAUAACCAAAAAUUUCAUGCACUGUUCACACUCAGGUAAAAUCUUGUGUUUUAGGGAAAUCUAACUUAUAGGAAGCUUAAUGAGAUCCUCACGAGUCUCGGGGUAGCUCGUUCGAGGAAUUUGGACAUCAUGAUCACGAGAAACAUCGAGUUGCAGUUUAGGUCGGAAUUUUGAAGCUUCCCCAACGUGAUUUCGUGAGAUUUGAAGCUUCAAAUAGGUAUAACACCAUUCUUCUCACUCUAAGCUUUCAUUUGGUUCAAAUUUCAUGAAAAAUGGUUGAGAAACAAGUGAAAAUAGUGAGUUUAAAAUUUUACCCAGUUU